rnacentral:rRNA from 1 species
GAUGAACGCUGGCGGCGUGCCUAAUACAUGCAAGUCGAACGAACGGACGAGGAGCUUGCGGGUCGGAUGUUAGCGGCGGAGGGGUGAAUCACAUGUGUAAAACCUACCUAUCAGACGGGGAUAACCACGGGAAACCGGAGCUAAUACCGGAUGAUAUUUUGCACCGCGGGGGGCGAAAGUAAGAUACGGUCGUGCGGGCUGUAAUAGCUGGAUCUGCGCUGCAUUCGCUGGUUGGUAAGGUAACGGGUUACCAAGGCAAGGAUGGAUAGGCGACCGGAGUGAGUGAUCGCCCACACUGGAAGUGAGACAGGGACCAGACUCCUGCGGGAGGCAGCAGUCGGGAAUCUUCCGCAACGGGCGAGAGCAUUACGGAGCAACGCGGCGUGAGUGAUGAAGGUGCUGGGAUCGUAAAGCUGUGUUAUUAGUGAAGAACCUAUGUGUCAGUAACUGUGCACAUAUUGACGGUACCUGGUAAGAAAGCACCGGCUAACUACGUG